GGAUUAGAUACCCUGGUAGUCCACGCAGUAAACGAUGAAUACUAAUUGUUGGCGAUAUACAGUCAGUGAUACAGCGAAAGCGUUAAGUAUUCCACCUGGGGAGUACGCCGGCAACGGUGAAACUCAAAGGAAUUGACGGGGGCCCGCACAAGCGGAGGAACAUGUGGUUUAAUUCGAUGAUACGCGAGGAACCUUACCCGGGCUUGAACGUAGUUUGACCGUUUUGGAAACAAGACUUCUAGCAAUAGCAAAUUACGAGGUGCUGCAUGGUUGUCGUCAGCUCGUGCCG
rnacentral:rRNA from 1 species